rnacentral:lncRNA from 1 species
GUCCUGGCAUUCCACAUGGCCCCAAAAUGAGAAGGCACGGCCCCAGGAGGCUAUGAAGAGGAAAAGGGAUGUCUACGAGUGCGCCUCGUGCCGUGCCGAAUGCAAACUGGUUCCUCUCGUUUAAGCGCCUUGUUGUGAGGAGCUCCUUCUCCAGGUCACCACGUGAAGAACAGCAGCAGCUGCUGAUCUCCCCACAGCCAGAACUGUGCUGCUGCCAUGCCAGCGGUCACGCAGCGAGGGGCAUCUUCCUUCCCUCUCCCUGGGACAGAGGUGACAGGGAUACUUUUGUGCCUCUCUGGUCCAUUGCAUGCUCUGCCUGGGUUCCUCGCUCUGCCUGUAGACAAUUCCCAGUCCAACCUAAAUUCACCCUGCAUUUAGCAGGACGCUGGAACUCCUGCUGCAGGUGAGCUGCGAGCACCUGAAUAGACGAGGAGGAAUCCUGCAGACAGAGCUGUGCAGGUGAGGUCUCCCUCGUUGGGUCCCUGGGGGGCGGUUACAUCCCUUCACCACUGCUUCCCUCAGUGCUGCAGAGCCUCCUGUGCCCCCCAGGGCUACGCUCUGGCAAGGGCACGGGGGCUGAGCUGGUGGGAAGGGUGAGGAAAGCCUAGGGCCAAACCAGGAGAGCAGACGGGUGAAGGUCUGGUGUCGUGCCCAGCUGCGUGACGGUGAACGUGUGGCGCCGAUCGGCUGCUCCCUGGUAGGAGCACUGCACCAGAGGGCACCAGAAAGCAAGAAAAACGCUGCUCUGUGCUAACGGCUUGUGCAGUACCAGUGGCCCCGUGGCUUACAAAGGUGAGGGUGCUGGAGCUGGCUUUGUGCUUCCUGCUGGAAGGAGCGACGAGGGAAGCCUGGCAGCCCUCAGGUUUGACUUCACCUUCCUGUACCCAGCGAAACGGCUGCGAGCUCCCAGCCCAGAGCCGAGCUGCUCCAAGCCCAGAGCUCCCAGCCCAGGACUGAAGCUCGGGCAUUGCCCCAGUGGGUGACCCCUUUCUGCGGGGCUGUGGUGUGGGGGCACCUGGGGCCUUCUGGAGGGCUUGGGUGUGCCCUGAGCCUGUGAGGGCAAUAUUGGUGUGUGUUACACAUCUGUGUGUGUUACACACCCGUGUGUGCCACAUCUGUGUGUGCCACAUCUCUGUGUGUGUCACCCCUGUGUGUGUCACCCCUGUGUGUGUCACCCCUGUGUGCCACAGCCGUGCCCACCGCCUGUACCCCUCAGGGCUCCUCCAGCCCCUUCCCCUGGCUGCCCCCCACUGCCAGGAGCCGCCUUCUUGUCCCCUUCCCCUCAUGGGGAAGCUCCGCGGCCCGGCCCCGGUCCCCGCUGUGGAGGCUCGGGGCCCUCCCGGGCCUGCCCGAGCCCCGAGCCCCGUCCCCGCGGUGCCCGCCGGUGUCCGUGAGGGGGCGGCGGCG